rnacentral:rRNA from 1 species
GAAAAGAGAAGAAAAAGGAAGGAAAAAAAGAGGAGAAGGAGAAAAAAUGGAAUAAAAAAGAAACAGAGGUGAGAAAGAGUGGGGAGAAAAAAGGAAUAGAAAAAAAGGUAGAAAAAGAAGAAAAAGAUGACAACAAGAAGUUGGAAGCCUUGAGCUG